AGCAGUAUGGUGCAGUGAUGCACACGGGAUUCAUUUGAGGUACUGGGUUGCAAAAAUGUAUUCCUGAGGUCCUUGUUCGAAUCAAGGUACUGCUA